UCUUAUGCAUGAGCAAAGAAAGUGGUUUCUUGAGAUGGAAUCUGCUCCUGGGGAAGAUGCUGUGAA
rnacentral:pre_miRNA from 1 species